rnacentral:rRNA from 1 species
UUGAACGCUGGCGGCAUGCCUUACACAUGCAAGUCGAACGGUAGAGGAGCAAUCCUCGAGAGUGGCGAACGGGUGAGUAAUGUAUCGGAACGUGCCCAGUAGUGGGGGAUAGCCCGGCGAAAGCCGGAUUAAUACCGCAUGAUACCUGAGGGUGAAAGCGGGGGACUCGCAAGAGCCUCGCGCUACUGGAGCGGCCGAUAUCAGAUUAGGUAGUUGGUGGGGUAAAAGCCUACCAAGCCUGCGAUCUGUAGCUGGUCUGAGAGGACGACCAGCCACACUGGGACUGAGACACGGCCCAGACUCCUACGGGAGGCAGCAGUGGGGAAUUUUGGACAAUGGGGGCAACCCUGAUCCAGCAAUGCCGCGUGAGUGAAGAAGGCCUUCGGGUUGUAAAGCUCUUUUGUCAGGGAAGAAACGGCGGGUUCUAAUACAGCUCGCUAAUGACGGUACCUGAAGAAUAAGCACCGGCUAACUACGU